rnacentral:misc_RNA from 1 species
GACGAAGAACGCAGCGAAAUGCGAUAAGUAAUGUGAAUUGCAGAUUUCAGUGAAUCAUCGAAUCUUUGAACGCACCUUGCGCCUUGUGGUAUUCCACAAGGCAUGCCCGUUUGAGUAUCAUUAAAUCAUCAACUCUAAAACCUUUGUGGUUUUUUUAGAGCUUGGUCUUGAGGGUUUUGCAGGCUUUUUUUUUUUCGAGGCUGCUCCCUUUAAAUGCAUUAGCGAGACUUCCCUAUGCUGAACCGGCUCUUUGACGUGAUAAUUAUCUGCGUCGAAUUUUGGUUCUCGUUGGGCUUGCUUCUAAUCGUCUGUUAAAGACAAAACGGAUUUGGGUGCAUAUAUGCGCCUUUUUCCAAAACCUUUUUUGAUCUCAAAUCGGGUAGGACUACCCGCUGAACUUAAGCAUAUCAAUAAGCGGAGGA